AGCUUUGCACAGUGGCAGUAUCAUAGCCAAUGAGGUUUAUCCGAGGCGCGAUUAUUGCUAAUUAAAGUGCCAGGCAAAUCUUUUGGUGGAGAUUGAAGGUUUUCUUCUGGUAGGAGUGCUGAUUC
rnacentral:snRNA from 2 species